rnacentral:lncRNA from 1 species
UUCAUUAAAUUUACCCAUCAAAAGUAGAUUCAGAUUCUUGAUGGGUUAACUUUCAAACAUAAACAAACAUGUCAACCUUGUAAACAAUCUUUCACAACCACCGAUCACAUGGUUUUGCUUUCAUGCAACCCUGCCUUGUGGGAGCGAGCUCCAUGAAAUGGAUUGUCUGGCCUUGUGAAUAUAUAACCAAGUCACAUACUUUUCCUUGUACCCAUAAAAAAUUUGCAUUCCGUAUUUGAGAAUCUAAAGGUUUCUUCCUUUAUUUUCCUCUCAACUUUCAGUUCUUAUAGAAUAACAAGAUGAUCAGUACCAAGAAACUUCUGAAAUUGGCCAGGAAAUGGCAGAAGAUGGCUGCUAUCAGGCGAAGAAGAAUCAUGUCGUCACAAAACAUAGGAAGUAUAGAUACUCCAUUGAUAGCUAAGAAAGGCCAUUUUGUUGUGUACUCUGCAGAUCAAAAACGAUUCCUUCUUUCCCUAGAAUAUCUUAACAAUGAAAUCAUCAGAGAGCUAUUCAACAUGGCAGAAGAAGAGUUUGGAUUGCAAAGUGAGGCGCCACUCACACUACCUUGUGAUGCAGACCUUAUAGAAUAUGCAAUUGCUCUGAUCAGACAGAAUGCCUCUAUAGAUGUAGAGAGAGUAGUGCUGGUGUCCAUAGCUAGCAGUUGCUGUUCAUCAUCUUUCCCUUUCCAGCAUCAUGCAACAAGACAUCAAUUACCAAUUUCCAGCUGCUAAAGAGUCGCAAUUAGAUUUGUAAAGAUGCAUAUACAAUUGUAAAUUCAUAUUUUUCAUAAAAAAUGCAAAAUUUUUUGUUCCUGCCCAAUUAUUGUC